ensembl:lincRNA
GGACAGGGAUGUCUUUCAGCCCUGGGCGCCUGUGUCUGCAGUCUCACAGCAGGGAAGAUGUUGCUGCGGCUGAGGUCGAAGAGGUUGCUGCCUGUGUUCUCCUCAAGGACUUUGAUGGAUUCCUGUCUCACAUUGAGACCGCCAGGACGAUCGCGGAGAGAGACAGCAUUAGCUCGCGGCCGUGCUGCCUCCACAUCGUCAAAGGAAAAGCUGCGAAGAUGCAAGUGUGAUGUCCACUGUGUGCGUUUUUCAGAGUCUCUUAAGUUAAGGAACUUCUAUUUCUUUCACAGUUUGCUAAGUGGUUGCAUUAACCACGGAGAAGUUGGAUUUUUAUCAAACGUCUUCUUUGUCUCUAUUGAGUUACUUGUCUCCUUGAAUCUGUUAAUAUGACAAAUUACAGUAGCAUAUAGAUUUCUUUAUGUUUAUAUAUCCCUGAAUUUCUGGAAUAAACCCUCCCUGAUCAUGACGGACUUAAAAAAAUAAUAAAUGGCUACAUACAGUUUCCUUAUAUUUUAUGAAAUUUGUAUUUAUGUCACUAAAUGUGAGUUUGCCCUCAAGCAUCCUUUCUGAAACUGCUCUUGUCUUGUUUUGCCAUCAAAGUGAGGACAGUUUCAUGAAUUGGCUUGGGAAGCUUUCCUUUUCUUCCUUUUCCCUGGAAAAGUUCUGAUAAGAUGAAGAGUAUGUCAAAUUCUCUAUUUGAUGGGUCAACUGUUAAUACUAAUAUGAAAAUAUUUUUAUUUUCACCAAUUAUUUGCUUGAUAUUUUGUCAGUUUCUCUUGAUGAUAUGUAAUGAUUAUUAUAUUUUCCUGAUGAAUCACUUUCAAUCAUUAAGAAAUAACCCCAUUUAUAAACUGCUAAUGGUUGUGUCUUAAAAUCUAAAUUUGCCCAAUGUUAAUAUUAUAAUGCAGCUUCCUAUUUUCCUGGUACAUAUUUUAUUUCAAAAGUUUCUCUAUUCUUAGUUCUUUAUUAUAUGAAUAAUAGAUUCUUAUAAUUCAAUUCAACUUCUUUGCCUUUGAUCAGUGAGUUAAAUCCCUUGCUAUUUGCAAUUACUGAUAUGUCGACUAUUUCUAUGUUUUUCUAUGUUUCCUAUUUUCCAUGUUGCUAAUAAUUUAUUUUCUCUUGUGUUACAUACUAUGAAAUUUUCUUUUUUCCCACCUUUAUUAAUCUCUCCUUUUGAAUAUAUAGGUAUUUUAUUUCUAUUCUUUAACAUGGAUAUCUAAUAAAGCCCAAAUUUAAUCAAUAUUUCUCAUUCACUAAGAGAAGGAGUUUAGGAUGCUUCAACUCCAUACUUCUUCCAUUUUCAUGGCAUUCUACAUGCGAUCCGUCUUGGGUUUUUUUUUGAAAGAUUUUAUUUAUUUAUUUAUUUGACAGAGAGAGAUCACAAGCAGGCGGAGAGGCAGGCAGAGAGAGAGGAGGAAGCAGGCUCCCUGCUGAGCAGAAAGCCCGAUGCGGAUGUGGGGCUCGAUCCCAGGACCCCGAGAUCAUGACCUGAGCCGAAGGCAGCGGCUUAACCACUGAGCCACCCAAGCGCCCCUUGGGGUUUUUUUAAAUUUAUUUUUUAUUUUCAGCAUAACAGUAUUCAUUAUUUUUGCACCACACCCAGUGCUCCAUGCAAUCUGUGCCCUCUCUAAUACCCACCA